rnacentral:lncRNA from 1 species
UGGUAGGAGUUUUAUGAAAUUUAUUCAGCUUUCAUUUCUUGAUUUUGGAUUGCAAUUUUUUUUUUUUAUAAUUUUGAAUUUUGUAUAUCUUCAAAUACAUUUUAAUGUUAUUUUUAUAUUUUUAAUAUGUUGUUUAAUUUUUAUAUUUUUUAAAUAUUUCACAAUUCCUAAUAAUAUUUUAAAGUUUUUUUUAUAAUUUUUAAUAUUGUCUAAUACUUUUUUUAUUUUCCUAAAUUUUUAAUCAAUUUCUU